UGGAAUACCUCAACUAUAACAAGGACCUC
rnacentral:piRNA from 1 species